ACCAUUGUCCACCAAAGAGCAGCACUGAGCAGAAAUAACACGGCUCCUGUUCAUUCUCCAUCAGUGAGGGGCCGGUGCUGGACACUGUGUAGGGACGCGGGAAUGCAAAGUCAUACACAUGACUGUGACUGAUGCACUAUCUCCAGGACAUGGAGUAGCAUUUCCGGACCUACAGCAAGACGUUGGAUGAAGGCAUAGCCCCAGAAAUAACACUGGUCCUGUUCAUCAGUGAGGGGCCGGUGCUGGACACUGUGUAGGGACACGGGAAUGCAAAGUCAUGCACAUGACUGUGACUGAUGCACUAUUUCCAGGACAUGGAGUAGCAUUUCGGGACCUACAGCAAGACGUUGGAUGAAGGCAUAGCCCCAGAAAUAACACUGGUCCUGUUCAUCAGUGAGGGGCCGGUGCUGGACACUGUGUAGGGACACGGGAAUGCAAAGUCAUGCACAUGACUGUGACUGAUGCACUAUCUCCAGGACAUGGAGUAGCAUUUCCGGACCUACAGCAAGACGUUGGAUGAAGGCAUAGCCCCAGAAAUAACACUGGUCCUGUUCAUCAGUGAGGGGCCGGUGCUGGACACUGUGUAGGGACACGGGAAUGCAAAGUCAUGCACAUGACUGUGACUGAUGCACUAUUUCCAGGACAUGGAGUAGCAUUUCGGGAACUACAGCAAGACGUUGGAUGAAGGCACAGGCCUAGGAAUCAUGCACAUACACAGAAACAUUUGCCCAAAUUAUAGAGGUAACCUCCUUUAGUAUGCCCAGAGGAAGGGCCAUACAGUAGCCAUGGAUUCCCUACAGGUUUCCUCCCCUCUGGAGGUUUUUCCUGUCCUGAGUAUUAGUUACUGUACGCUCUUUGUGAGUGAUGGGAGGUUACAAAAAAUCCCCUACACAAACAUUUUAAUAAAUAAUAAAUAAAGUUCCCCUUUUUUUAA